rnacentral:rRNA from 1 species
AGCGAACGCUGGCGGCAGGCCUAACACAUGCAAGUCGAACGAACUCUUCGGAGUUAGUGGCGGACGGGUGAGUAACACGUGGGAACGUGCCUUUAGGUUCGGAAUAACUCAGGGAAACUUGUGCUAAUACCGAAUGUGCCCUUCGGGGGAAAGAUUUAUCGCCUUUAGAGCGGCCCGCGUCUGAUUAGCUAGUUGGUGAGGUAAAGGCUCACCAAGGCGACGAUCAGUAGCUGGUCUGAGAGGAUGAUCAGCCACAUUGGGACUGAGACACGGCCCAAACUCCUACGGGAGGCGGCAGUGGGGAAUCUUGCGCAAUGGGCGAAAGCCUGACGCAGCCAUGCCGCGUGAAUGAUGAAGGUCUUAGGAUUGUAAAAUUCUUUCACCGGGGACGAUAAUGACGGUACCCGGAGAAGAAGCCCCGGCUAACUUCGUG